UACGUAGAGUGCGAGCGUUAAUCGGAAUUACUGGGCGUAAAGCGUGCGCAGGCGGUUUUGUAAGCCAGAUGUGAAAGCCCCGGGCUUAACCUGGGAAUGGCAUUUGGGACUGCAAGGCUUGAGUGCGGCAGAGGAGACUGGAAUUCCUGGUGUAGCAGUGAAAUGCGUAGAUAUCAGGAGGAAUACCGAUGGCGAAGGCAGGUCUCUGGGCUGACACUGACGCUCAUGCACGAAAGCGUGGGGAGCAAACAGG
rnacentral:rRNA from 1 species